CGGCCUUCCUCGAGUCGGUGUUCCACUCUCUGUUCUUCCUCGUUUCACGGUCUCGUCUCUUAGGACAUUGCUGCUUCCUGGCCUUCGCGCCGCUCCUCGACUGCGCUCGUUCUAUUCAACCGCGAAAAUUCUGCAGGAAUUUUAAUAACUCGGAUUCGUACUGAUUAAAACGGAGGUCGCAUCCGACGUUUCACCGACCAGUCUCUGGUUACUAGUUGGCGGCGGAUAGCACGUAUUCCGUACAGAUGGAGGAGAGGGCCAAUCGGCACCCCGGUAUACCGAUUCUCGUCGCCGAUGGAAGCGCGUUGUCCAAUUACGAUAAUGAGGCAUCGUCGUCGUCGUCGUCCUCGUCGUGUCGUUUCACGCUAAAGAAUGAAUCGUCCUUGACGCUUGGAUGAACAACGAUGCAACGUUGCAACCUAUUCUAUGGUGGCCAGAUAUAGGAGAGAGACCGGAAGUGGAGGAACCAGUAAAGAAAAUUCUCCUCAUCUUCAAGAAUGGAAAGAACGUAUCAUUAUUUUUCUAAUCGUGCAAGUGACUCGCUUCUAAUUUUUUAGAUCAAAUUUAACGAACUGUUAUUAAAACGUUCAAGUGAAUGAUUAUAGAAGAGAGAUUUGAUUGAAUGUCGGAAAUUAAGUUUAAUUAAGUACAAUAUAUAUUGUUUAAAUAUUUAUAACGUUGUACAUUUUUUAUUGUUUAUAUAUUAUUUCGUACUAAUAAUAAAAAUUCAAAUAUGAAUCGAAGGAGGUAUCGAUGAAAAAAGAGGAACAAAUAUAAAAUCAAAUCGAUCGUGUCAAUUAUAAAAAUAUUCCAAAUAACUUUAAUUUACAG